GCCUGUCCAUUUUGGUCUUUGAUUUCAGAAAAGUCUUCUGGGGUCAUCCUCCCUGGUAUAGCGUCAAUCUGGCUGUCAUCGCAAAUGCCUACGAGUGUCUCUGAUCUAAAGAGCCAGCGGGGCCCGGGAUGCAGUCACCCCAUCAGGGGUCAAGUAGAUGAAGUUAAAAGGGGAAGUGAUUCCUGUUGGUGGUGUGAAGAAGCUGUGGAGCAAAGAUAAAUGACUGCUCUUUGUAUUCAGAGGUUGGUGGUUCUCUUGAUGGUGCCUUGCAAGUCUUUCUCUGUGUGUCUGUCUCUCCCUACAGGAGAAGAAAGCUCCUCCUUAUCACUGUUAAUGUUAUUUUUAAUUGGUCUCAGCUGUUCUUAAUUAGCCUCAUUAACAGUCUAGUAAAAAUAAAACAAAAUUUUAGAGGUUAUGGA